rnacentral:rRNA from 1 species
CGGCGGACGGGUGAGUAACGCGUGGACAACCUGCCCUAUGCAGGGGGAUAACAUCCGGAAACGGGUGCUAAUACCGCAUAAGCGCACAGUACCGCAUGGUACAGUGUGAAAAGCUGAGGCGGCAUAGGAUGGGUCCGCGUUGGAUUAGGCAGUUGGCGGGGUAACGGCCCACCAAACCGACGAUCCAUAGCCGGCCUGAGAGGGUGGACGGCCACGUUGGGACUGAGACACGGCCCAGACUCCUACGGGAGGCAGCAG